AAAAAAAAAGAAGCAAGAGAGAAAGACAGAAAGAAUAAAAAAACUAAAAUUUGUUUUUUUUUUAAUCUAUAGUACAUUCUUUUCUUUCUUAAUUGUUGUUU
rnacentral:ribozyme from 1 species